CCACAUUCUAACCCACAUUGUUCCGAUUAGCAUCGAAGAUUGAAGAGGCAAUCUUUCCAAAGGGUGCAUAAAGUCUAGAUUGGAUGAUUUCUCUAUUCUGUAUAAUGUUGGAAUAUAGAGGAAGUUUAUUAAAGCGCCUAACAUUAUUGAAGCCUGUUGGUAUCAGCCUCUUCCCAACUGGGUUAAGUGCAAUGUUGAUGGAGUUGCGAAAGCCCAGGGCAUGCGGCUCUUGGUGGUAUCUUCAGAGGCGCAAAUGCCACUACAAUGGGUAGUUUUUCCAUUUACAUUGGUAUUCACAAUGUUUUUUUGUUGGACAAGGAUUUGGCUGGAGAGUUACUCUAGAUUAGUGGUGGAUGCCAUACUAAUCCAAGUGUCAAUUCCUUGGAAGUUACAAAAUAGGUGAUCUAACUGUAGCUUGGGUAAAUACCAUGGAUUUUACAAUUUCUCAUAUAUUUUUAGGGAAGGCAAUAGGUGUGCUGAUAGCUUUAGCUUAGCUAACCAUCCAGUUCAUUCCCAUUCCUCUUGUUGGUGGGACACAAUCCCGAUUUGUGUUGGGAUUUUUUUGUCCUAACAGAAAUGGGCUUCCUCCUGAUUACUGGUUGAUUCACUGAUAGCAUGGGUUUUAGUUUGGUCCUCCAUGUUCUUGUUCUUUCUUUUUGUUUUGUUAUUAAUAUAUCUUUUGUUUGGGAGGUC